GAUUGCAGUUUCAUGCGGACUGAUACGAUGCAUAUGUAUCAGUCCAUGCAGAUACCAAUACACGAACUGACCAAAAGUACCAGUCCAGGGGUGAACCAGUACGUGGACCGCCUCAUUUUGGAUGGUCCAAUACGACCAAUAAAAAAUUUAUAUUUCACAAGCGCUCACAAUCGUAAGCUCUUCCUCGUACAUGCAUCUGCAAGCCGCUGCAACGGCCCAUUGCCCACCAUCAAUUUCAGGUCUGUUUCCUCCUCUUUCUCUUCCUAUUCUUUCUUCCUCACCUUCCUCUUCCUCCACCACCUCCUCCUCUUCUUCCCUCCUCUUCCCCCUCUUCCGCAACUGCGACAGCACCUCCUCUUCCACUGCUGCAGCACCACCUCUUCUUCCUUUCUCUUCCUCCUCUUCUUCCUCCACUGCCUCCUUCCGCCUCUUCCUCCACUGUCACUUGUUCCUUCCUCUUCUUAGACUCUUCAAUAUAUACCAAUGUACUGGUACAUACAGGUAAUGGUACAUACCAGUCCGGCCAUGGACCGAUACACCUGGUUGGUACGAGAUGACAAACCUUCGAUAGAAUUGCACUAAUUAUCUCCAAAUAUCUCAGUACUUUGAGAAAGUCACAUAUGGACAUUGCAUUGUGCACUAUCGAAGUGAGAUUGUGGGCAAUGUUUCAUGUGAAUGAGGAUUGAAUUUAGACAUCUAAAUUAUUUUAAAAAAUGAUCAUAGUAGCAUAGCACGGGUUAUGUAUAAGAACUGGCACUAUAUAUGGACUUUAAAUUAGUAUACUCUCCUGAAAGUUCCACUUAUGAUACCAAAACUAUAAUGCUUGAUGCAGGAAGCAUAUAAGUCAUCUCAAAUUAGAAGGCACAAUAUCACUGAUUUUUUGGAACCAUAUACACAAUGAAAAAACAACGACCAAGGCAGUAUGCAUCACAUUCAAUGUACAAACAAAAAAAAAUGAAUGAGUGGACAAUCUCACUUAAAAAUAUAAAAAGAAAAAACAAGAACAACUUAUGAAGUGGUCAAGUAAAAGAGAGUGACAGUGGAAGCCAAAGGCCACUCACAAGUCCCUUGAACCAUUUGCUUCUAUCCUGAAAAAGAUACGACAAGAAAUAGUAUCAGCAAAAAAAUCUGAGACUAUAAUAAGAAAUAAUUAUAAUCAGCGUGACAAUUUCUAAUGCAAUUAAAUCAACUUCAUAAAAAUAUAAAUCUAAAAAACCCAAGUACCAGACUGCCAUCCACAAAACAAAGAUUGUUCAAAGCGAAGUUAAAAAUAGAGAAUCUAGUGAUUGAGAUUCCCACCAAUGUGGAUUCAAGGAGGGUCACUAUCAUAGUUUUAUUCUCCACGAGUAGAGACAUUGUUUUCAUGACUUGAAUCUUGAUCACCAAGUCACAAAGGAGCAACAUUUCUGUUGUACCAAGGCACACCUUCAAUUCAAAACAAAGUUAUGAAAGCUUAAUGCAUAUUGAGGUGCAAAGGCCUAUUGGGCCUAUGCACGAGGCAAACACACACCUUAUUUAUGUAUUACACAAUGCAAUUUCUUGUGGAUGGCCUGUAAGCGUAAUGUGUAUUUGAGGUGCAAAGCUCUAUUGGGCCUAGGCAUGAGGCAAGCACAUGCCUUCUUAAUGACAUAAACUUCUCAUUAUCUCUUCGCUCCCAUAUAUUUGCUAUCCUUCCUUAGAUCAAGUUGCAUCAACUAAACAUCCCUUCACUUCAACCAAUGUGCUUUUACUAUAUGAAUAAUGUCUUCAUUUCCUAUUGAUUAAAAGAUCCAAAAUAUCUAAAACUUCUUUUGAAAGAAACUUGUUCACCCAUCUUAAUUACACUUUCAGUUCCACUAAAAUCAAUUUUUUUUAUAUUUAAUGUUAAUCCUACUUAAUUGAUAAUCAACAAUUUAUAACAUAUCUCCGUCACUAAUCACAAAUAAACUCUCAUCGACCAAAACCAUAUUUAAAAAGAACAUAGACUAUGGAAGCCUAUCUUGUACAUGAUAAAUGAGUAAUCAUCAUAGAUCUUUUAUAACAUCAAUAUAAUUAAUGAAUAGUCAAUUUGAUGGUUUCAAAAACCAUUCGUACAUGCCGGAACAAACUAGCUGUAAACAGUCUCAGGCCAAACCAACAUGCAAACACACCUUAAUCGUAAAGGACGUAUCACUUUACUACAAUAGCCAACCAAGGUACCACCCGACUUUGGAGUAGUAAGUUAGUCGAAGCUCAUAGUACACUUAUUGCUCAAUUCCCAACCCAUCCCACUUAUUUUCCGAUAAAAGAACCCCCUUCUCUAUCCUAUUUCUACUCUCACAAUGACCCACACUUCACUCUCUAUCUCUCCAUCAAUUCACCCACUUGUUCGCCUUUUAUCAAAUCAAGCUUGGAGAGUUGAAUCUUCGCUAGUUUCUUGUGUACUCAACCAAAUUUCACUAUAAUAUAUUGAAUGUAUACUAUGGUUUUUAAUAUUGACAAAAACAGCACCAAGACAUGGCACAUAGGAGCGAGCUCAUUGCUCAGAGCCUUGGACUGCCAUUAUCAUCAGCAACAUCAUGGAAUCCAUUGCAACUAUCCAGAGUGAGGCAACUUAACAAGACACCACCAAGGCUAGCACCUCAAUUGGGUUGUCGACCAACACAAGCGCUCAAGUAUGAUGGGCCUGCUAGCCUUAUGUGCUUGCGAACCCAUUGGCCAGCAUGCGCACCCUCAAAACUUUGAUUUUUGCUUAAACAUAUUUCAUUUGGUUUCCUUUAUUUGUCAAAGGGUGCAGCUAAUGAUCUACUAGAAGAGGCUGAAGGAGCAUAGGAUUUGCUUUAAAGAUCCAAUUGUCUCUAUUGCAGUAUCAUCAUGUUUAUAGUAAAUUAAGAAUAAAUUAUGGCUUAUCUUAGUGGCAACUAUUUUCCUAUUUACAGAUUUUAUUCAGUUUCAAGUAGCUGACAUAGUAGACCCUUCAAAAGUGGGACAAAACAUGGACUAAUCAUUAUUUGAAUUUUUUGUUCUCCCUUUCAUCUUCUCUUUCCGUUGUCCUCCUCUCUCUCUUUAAAGUCAUACUUAUCAUAAGCUAGUUUGUUUCUAAUUUUUCUCUUUUGUCCAAACCAAUGAUUUAAAAAGUGCUAGGCGCCAAAAGACGUCAAUGACCCAAAAUGCCCGAGGCGCUAUGCGCUCGCCUGAGCGAAGCAAGAUGCUCUAAAAUAUUAAAAUAUAUUUUAAUAUUUUAAAAUAUUCUCUACUGUUAACGGUAGUAGAGAAGAGUAGAGUGUGAGAAGGAGACCGAGGUAAGAAGCCGAGUCACGGUGAGAACUGAGUCGCAGACAGGAAGCUAUUGUCUGAGAGCAACGACAACGAGCGGUAGCAAAGAGUAACGGCAACGACAGCGAGCAAUAACGAAGAAUACCGACAACAACAGCGGAGAGCAGCGACAGUGGCAACGGCAACGGAGAGAGGCAGCGAUAGCGGAGAGAGAUAGCUAUAGUGGCAGCGAUAGUGAAGAGCAAUGGCAGCGGCAACGAAGAGCAACAGCAGUAGCGGUAGCGGAGAGAGGCAACGACAGCGACAGUAGAGGCAACGGAAUCGAGUGUACGGUUAGGGGAAGUUGCGAGGAGUGGGAGGCUGAUAUGCGUGUGUUAGUUGGUUCAAUCGAACCAACUAAUCGGGAGCUCGCUGCCGCUGCUACGGUCGGUCCCCUGGUUUAUACUAGGCACUCGCUCGAAGCGCCUGGUGCCUGGGCUCGGGCGAGCGCUUAGGCAAGUGCCCGAGCGCCUUUUUAAAUCAUUGGUCUAAACUAGCUCCUAUCGUAUAAUAAGUUGGAGGCUUCAACUUUGGACCAUGUGAGAAAAGUAUUGAAAUGAUCUAAAACCAAUUAUAACAUUAACACUCGGUGCUUGUGUCCUACCCUAAGCCGCAAGGCUCAAGCGCCUUUAAUUCAUCCUAGGCGAGAGAUUUUGCACAAGUGUCACUUUGACAUGCACCUAGGCGCAUACAUGGCAUGUGCUUGAAACCAUAUCACCUCUGCCCUGGAGCCCGCACAACACCUCUAUUAGCAACCCUAGUCAUCUUGCAAUUGUUAUCCUUUGGUGAUCAACAACACAUGACAAUGUUGACAACAAUGGAUAACCAAAACGAUGAUCAACAACCAACAUGGCUGUGCCUCCCCUCUCGCAAUUGACAACAUGCAACAGUACCUCCCUCCUUCCAUCGUAGGUACCUCUCACUCUCUUAGCUCUCUCCCUCAACCCUUCUUCGAUCACUUUCUCUCAAUUGGGUGAUACAACCCCGCAUUCGUCUACCUACUAGUCAUGAUAGUACAAUAUCACCUCUCAGUGAUUUAAAAAGCGCUAGGCGCCAAGAUCCAAAAAUGCCCGAGGCGCUAAGCGCUUGCUCAAGCGAAGCGAGAUGCUAAAAUAUAAAAAUAUAUAAUAUAAUUAAUAAAUAUAAUUAUUUAAAUAAAAAUAUGAUAUUAAAUUUAAAAAAUCUUACAAUAUCACAUUAACAAAAAAAACUCAAAAUUUAAAACAAUAACAAUAAUUUCAAAUAAAUAAAAAUUAACAGUAUUAAAAUCAAAAUAAUAUAUUAUUAAUCUAAUAAAUAAAAAAAAUAUUGUUACUAGUAUACAAUUAACAGUAUACUGUUAAUAUACUGUUAACAAUAUACUAUUGAGUCGAUGUAAGAAGAGGUAGCAGCGAAUAGCGGGAGCAGGAGAGGCGAGCGACGACAAUGGCAGCGGUAGCAGCGGGAGCGGCGCGCAACGAUAGUGGCAGCGACAGCGGUAGCAACGAGCAACGGGAGCGACGAGCGGUGAUAGUGGCAACGACAGCAAUAGCGACGAGCAGCGACAGCAACAGGAGCGGGAGCGGCGAGCGACGAUAGUGGCAACGGUAGCAGCUGCAGCAAUAGUAGUAGCAGCGAGCAGCGGGAGCGGGAGCGACGACAGUGGCAACAGCAGCGACGAGCAAGGUUAGGGUUGGGUUAGUCACGAGAGGGAUGUUGGGAGGCUGAUAUCGGUGCUUCAGUUGGUUCAAUCGAACCAACUGAAGCAUCGAAGACCAAACCAAAUGUAAAACACUAGUUCGAUCGCCUGGUUUAACCCGGGCACUCGCCCGAAGCGCCCGACGCCUGGGCUCGGGCGAGCGCCUAGCGAUGCAUCUUUGAAGCGAGGCGCCUAGACAUAAAGCGCGGCGCUCGGGCCUCGCCUCUCCCGAGCGCCCGAACGCCUAUUAAAAUCGCUGCCACUUCUCUUAUCUCUUUUGAUAGUAAGCCCCCUUCUCUUUUUUCCUCCUCCCCUCUUCUAUGUUUCUUCUGAUGGCAAACCCCUCCUACCGACGUCACCACGUACAUGUCUCAAACACCAACACCAUACCCUCUAAUUCGUCUUCUAGGACCUUGUCUCUUAGGCCCUAGCCCAACACCCCCUAAUCCCUCUUGUUUGUCUUAAUCUUUCCAUCGCACAACAUGCAACAGUACCUCCCUCCUUCCUCCGUAGGUACCUCUCACUCUCUUAGCUCUCUCUCCCUCAACCCUUCCUCGAUCACUUUCUCUCAAUUGGGUGAUACAACCCCACAUUCGUCUACCUACUAGUCAUGAUAGUGCAGUACCACCUCUUCUCUAUCUCUUUUGAUAGUAAGCCCCCUUCUCUUUCUUCCUCCUCCCCUCUUCUAUGUUUCUUCUGAUGGUACAACCCCUCCUACCAACGUCACCACGUACCUGUCUCAAACACCAACACCAUACCCUCUAAUUCGUCUUCUAGGACCUUGUCUCUUAGGCCCAAACCCAACACCCCCUAAUCCCUCUUUUUUGUCACAACCUUUCCAUCGCCACCCCCUCCCCCUUUUUCCUUCUUCCCCUCCCUCUCUUCAUCUUUAGCACCUCCCUCUUCUACACCUCAAGGACCCCUUCUCUCUUUUCUCAUGCAGCCCCCUACCCAAAUAUUGUUGUUAGCAAUCUAUUUAGAGGCGAGAGGCACUAAAGGCACCAAGGUGUCAAAACACCCGAGGCACUUGGAGCUCACCCAAGCAAAGUGAAGAACCCCCCGAAUACUAAAAUUAAUAUAUAUAUAUAUAUAUAUAUAUAUAUAUAUAUAUAUAUAUAUAUAUAUAUAAUGAUUAAUAAACAUAAUCACUUAAACAAAAAAUGAAACAACAAAUUGGAUUUAUUUAAAGUACCAAAUUAUAUUAUUUAAUUAUAUAUUAAUAAAACAAUUAACGUAGGAGGAUGAAGAGGGUGUUAUCGAGUCAAUUGGGAGGGGAGUUAGGAUGAAGAAUCAAGGAGAGGGAGGAGGUAUGGGAGAGAAUUGCCAUCAGUUGGGGUGGUUGUCUAAUUAUUGUUGAUUGGGUCACUGUCAGUUGGAUGACUGUGGGUUGUUGUCAAUUAGGAGGGGAAGAGGGAGGGAGGGGAGCUAUCGAGGAGGAUGUCGAGGGUGUUAGGGGCGGCUACAACGAAGCGAAGGGGUAGAAGACACUAAUCGUUGGAUGAAAGGACGAUAAAGAGGAAGCCAUCAACGUAGGAAGGAGAAGGGAAGACGCCGGCACAGGGAGGAGGUUGUCAACGCACAAAGGGGGAAGGCGGUUGCAAUGAGGCAAAGAGGGGACAUUGGCGACGGGGAAAGAAAGAGACAGAGGAAGACACUAACCGAGGGGGAGAAGAGCGCUAUGGUGAAGGGGGAAAGGGCGAGGAGAAGGCGCUAGCGACGAGAGCAGACCGAGCAAUAACAAAGGAAAGAGGUACCGACAACAAGCCUACUGGAGGAAGACGUUGCUACAACCUCCAUUCGCUAAACAAACAAAGAGAGGAAGAGUCAUUGUUCGCCAACUAGCUUUCCAUGAGUGUCUCGUGGCGUGCAUGUGUGUGUGAAGAUUCAUUGAUCUAGUUCGAUCAAACCAGAUCCAGUGAACUAGGUUGGUCCUAGAUCCAAUGAUCUAGCUUGCUCUUGCCCAAUUUGAAUCAAGCGAGCCACUCAACGCCUGGGCCCAAGCACACACCUAGAUUGCACCCAAGUGAAGGCGCCAACCUAGCUCACUUAUCGAGCGCUCAAGUCGCGCCUAGCCUAGCCUAGGCGAGUUCCUGUUAACUUAACUUAUUGUUAGCCCCUACCCCUUAUUGUCAUCAACUCUACAGCCUUCCCAUCCUCUCAACCACCCACUUAGCCUCUUGUUCGUAGCCCUCCAGUUCUUAGCCAUAUGGUGAAGGUUGGUGGCAGAGGGAUAGGAUAUGCCAACGAUUGGGGAGAAGAGCACUACGACGAAGGGGAAAGAGCGAGGGGAAGAUGUUGGCAAUUGUGAUGAAGUGGGUGAUAACGAAGUAAGAGAGAGAUACCGACGAUGAACCCACCAAAGGAGGACACUACUACAGUACUAAACAUCCAUGCAGAGGAAGAGUCAUUCGCUGAUUAGGUUUAGGUUUCCACAGGUUGUCUCGACGCAAGCAUGCAUCAAGAGGGGUGCGUGUGUGAAGCUUCGUUGAAUUGGUUUGAUCGAACCAGAUUCAGUGAAUUGGGUUAGGCCGAAAUCCAGUGAUAUGGCUCACUCCUACUCGAUUUGAAUCAAGCGAGUCACCCAAUGCCUGGGCCUAGGCGCACACUUGAAUAGCUCCUGAUUGAAGGCACCAGCCUAGCCCACUUAUCAAGCGCUCGUGUCGCACCUCACCUCACCUAGGUGCCUAAUGGAGCGUCCAAGUGCCUGUUAACUUCACUAGUUGUUAACCCCUACCCUUAACUAUUAUCGGCCCGACUACCUACCCUCCCUCUCGACCGCCCACCCAACCUCCUAUUUUGAGCCCUCCUCCCUUGUCUUCCCCUACACUUAGCUAGCCUCCAAUCCUAAAACCCUACAUUUGCCUUCCCUUGCCUCAUAAAUUUAAUAACUAUGUCUAAUUCUUGUUAAUUAUAGUUAAUUCAUGUUAAUAGUAGUUUAUAAAUUAUGCUAAUAGCUAAAUUUAUUAUUGCUAAAAUUUUAUUGAUUUGACUUUUUUGUUAAUUAUUAUUUUAUAAUUUUUACAUUGGCAUGCACCUCGCUUCGCUCAAGCGAGCGCCUAUCACCUCAAACUUUUUUAAACCUUGGAACCUUUUAGCACCUAAUGCUUUUGACAUCAUUUGUAUAAACCCAUGUUUGAAUGAAGUUUUCUUAAUGCUCCGAGUAAUUUGGCACCUCAAUGACUUUUUGGCAACUAGUGGUUUUGAUAACCCUAACGAUGACUUUUUUGUUAAAGGAAAAGCAAGACUCAAGAAGCAUUUAACCAAAAUAUAUCUUGAUGUAAAAAUAAGCACCAAGAUUCAAAAAAAUUAGAGGUGCUUUCAUAGCAAAAUUGAUCACUAGGAAAGCCAAAAGAUGAAGAGGUGCAAAGGAGAUUGAUAGGUGAGCAUCUAAACAACCUGUCUAUGAUUAGUACAAGUGUCAUAGAAUUGAUUGACGAUCAUCCAACAAAGGCUUCUAUCCAUUUGUUGCCUCUUGAAAAAACAAUAUGAUAAAUAUCAAUAUAUUCCUCUCAAACAUAUCAUCUCAUCUUCGUGAUUGACUAGAGAAGUAGGGUUUGUUGAACUAACCCGUACCGCUCGAUAUGGGUGGUACGUACUGAUCCGACAAGGGACCAGUACGCGGACCGCCCUUUACUGGAUGGUACCAUUACCUAACCUCCGAAUCGGGCGAUACGGGGUCUGUACCAUACGAUAAUGGUCGAAAUCCAAAAUCUGACCUGUAUCAGUCAGUAAUGGUUGGAUUUCGAUCGUUACUGAUCAAGGACUGAGAUCGCCCUAUUUCAAAUACUCAAAUUGACCGUUUAAACAUAAGAAACGGUUUUUAAACCCUUUCUCCCCCCUCUUUUAACUCAUAUCCCUCUCUUAAUCUCUUCAACUCUCUCAAACUCAUUCUCACUCACAUCUCUUUCUCAUUUUCACAUUUUCACUCUCCUAAACUCAACAAAGCUAUGAUUUAUGGAUUGGAUCAAAUUUCGAAGGGUUAAGAGGAAGAUCCCCACGGUCAAAACGUGGCAACAGGAGCUAGAUAACAUCGAGUCAGACUAUUCGAGGAACUAGAGACACCCAAUCAUCACAAUCGUCCGCCCAGUAUGCAAAGGCAAAGGAAAAGGCAAAGGGGAAGGUAGUAGCAUCAGUCGCACCACUGAAAAGACUCGAGUCGAGCAACGAAACACCUCAAUCGCAUUCAUCAACCCACUCAAUCUAGAGACAUGGCAGCAACGUGGACGACAAUGCCUCAACCUGCCCAAUCACUAUUCUUUCUCAAUUUAGAUUAUUUUCGCUAAAAUUAUACUAAAUUUAUAUUUAUUUCCAACUUAAAAACCCUAAUUCAACUUUUAAGUAUUCUUGGAGCUAUUUAAGAUUUUUUUUGGGUAUAUCGUCAGUACACCUCGAUACGUACCAUAUCGACCAUUGGUCGAUACACCGGUACUGACCGAAAUUGUACAUCUUGUUAAGAGAACUACAAUCAACAAAAAUCAAAAUCCACAAAAUCUUCAUAAUCUAGUAAUAAAGCAAUAGGAGAUAGCAAAGGAGCAUUCAAAAAAAGUUACAUUUUUUAUUUUUUAUACCAUAGAUGAUCAAGUUAAACAAGUGGCAAGGAACAUAACAAAAUAAUAAAACACUAUAUUUAAUGUAAAAAAAAUGCCACUUAAAAGAUACUACUAAAAGUUAAAGUUCUAUUAAUUUAAAAAAGCUUCCUAAUUACCAACAUGAGAUAUAGCCAAAAAGUAAAUCUUACCGCGUCUGGUCUUUUAGUCACUUCCAGAACUCCAUAAUUAGUUUUUUCCUUAUUUCCAAUGGAUAUUGAAGAUGUCUCUUGCGAUGAUUCAUCCAAAGGUUUUGUUUUCUUCUCAAUAAGACUCCUUUUCUCAUGAGCACUAUUGGUCAAAUGAAUAGUCUCCCUAAAAUAACUAGGUCCAUUUGACUCAACGUUUUGCUUUCUUGAGCUAGCAUCAUUCAAGAAUUCAGGAGCAUCAGUAGGUUUCAUGUUCUUGGAAAAUCUUAUACCAUCCAGAGCAUCAUUCUUCUCAGAAGAUUCUUUGCCCACAUGAACAAUCUCUUUCGAAGAACCAACCCUGUCGAGCUCAAAUUUUCGCUUCACUGGACUAGAAUCACUUGAUGCUUCUAUAAAAGCAUUAGUAGAUUUCUUUUGGGAACCACUAUCAUUAGAUUCAAAGUUUUCUUUCCUUAAACUAGUACCAUUUGGAGCUUCUAUAGUGGUAUCAAUUAAUCUCAUCUUCUCGGAAGGUUUAUUGUCAUUUAGGCCCACAUUAGAUUUGCUUUUACCAUAGUUAAGAUUAUCUUCAACAUGAUUUGCUGAAACUAGAACAUCUUCCUUAUCUUCACCUAAAGGACAUUGUCCUUCUAAAAGUUCGCCUGCAAUGACAUCAUCCCUUUUUGUUGAAGUUGCAGCGGACUCGAUCUUGUCAUCUAACCUGGACAUGAGAGAGGAAAUGGAAAUAUUUUCUGCUUUUCCACUGCCACCUUUUUCCUCAAACAUGAAAACAGAACUUGGCUGAAUAUCUUUUCGAUUUAAAAGAUACUUUGCUGAAACACAUUAAGCCAUAAAUCAGAAAAAAAUAAUGAAAAAGGAAUAACUGGAAACUAACUAUGAGAAAGCACACACCUUCAACACCAGCUAUUUUAUCAUUAAUCUUCUCAGAUAUUGUAUAGGUUUGGACAUCAAAUGUGCGGUAGAAGAUAUAGUCAGCCAUCUCCAAUUCUCUGUUUGAUGGUUGUCGAUUUCUCUCAUCUUUUGAUGUGCAGAUCACAGAACAUUUGCCAGCUAUAGCUUCCUGGUUUAAUUGAAGUGUUAGUCCAAAAGAUUUACUUAAUGCUAGAGUGUUUUUCAGAAAAGGUAUACUGGGCAAUAAGAUCUAAGUGCCCAAAGUACUGAAAGGAAUAUAUCUACGUUGUGGCACCAAUAACAGCAUGAGAAAAUUAUCUCAUCCUUUGAUGUGCAGAUCACACAACAUUUGCCAGCUAUAGCUUCCUGGUUUAAUUUAAAAUGUUAGUCCAAAAAAUUUACUUAAUACUAGAGUGUUUUUCAAGAAAAGGUAUAAUAGGCAAUAAGAUCUAAGUGCCCAAAGUACUGGAAGGAAUAUAUCUAAGUUGUGGCACCAAUAACAUCAUGAGAAAAUACAGCAUCUAGACAACAAAAAUUUGCAAAUCUAGAUGCUAAUCACGAAAAAACAAAAAAAUAAGCAUAUUUCUUCUGCUGCUUGCCUACUUGCAGCUGCAUUGUUUUUUUAUGCUUCUUUGGUUGCAGCAGCAGUGUAAACUUGCUUGACAGGUCACAGCUUAUUGCUUCUGUGAAGGGCUAAUGUCACAGAGUUUCUUCUCAAUUUAUAUUUGAUUUUUUCAUCUUACCCAUGAGUUUACAGUUGUCAUAGUAAAUUUUUCCAACUAAACCAUGCCUUCAUUUAGGUAUGUGACUUUUUCUUUUUUUGCAACUCAGGCAAUCAUGAGGUGAUCAAGGUUUGAGUCAUGAAAACAACCUUUCCAAUUUUCAGGGUAAAGUGGCAUACAUCUGACUCUUUCCUUACGUAGCAUUGGCGGAAGCCUCAGGAGCAUUCAUGUGACUUACGCAUUGUCAACAAUUUUUGCUUGUUGAAGUUGUUAACAUUGAACUAUUGAUCCUCCAUGGAAACAUGUAGUCAAACUAGUGAUUGAAUUGGUCGACCAUCAUUCAUUCAAUGAUCGAUAAACAUAGACCAUUAAUAAUUGAUGAAUGACAAUCAACCAAUCAUCAACCCGUUGAAAUCCGCCGAUUGACCAACCCUGCCACAGCGAGCAUCAAUUGAUGUUCCCCAACCAAUACACAACUAUCAAUCAUCGUCAAUCAAUCGAUAUGGAUCAUAGACCCUUAGCAUUCAGCAAACCAUUAUCAACCCAUUAAUAUCCUCACAAGCAUCUCGCCUUGACUCAUCAAGUUUCGAGCGAUAUCAACUGAAUAACAACCUACCAUUAGUUGCCAACUAUAUUGACUAUUAUUGAGAACUUCCAUUAACUAACCAAUAAUCAUUAGAUAGCCAAACAAUUAGAAAAUAUCUAGAUGAGUAAUUUGGGUCAUGCAAAGCUAACAUGAUAUAGGCCCACAAUGACCCACUACUAUAAGAAAUAUGUCAUGAUGUGCUUGGGAGGUCAAACAAGUCACAUAGUUCAAUCCUUAUCCAUUGGCAUGUGAGCUUGUGCCAUGUCAAAUUGACCUAUGUACCAACCCAAGUUUUUCAUAUCCAUGAUUAGUGAAUAUUUUGUGAUGUUUUAAACAUAAAAAAUCCUUGUUAGCACUCUCCACAAUCAACAUAACUUACCAAAAAGGAAACUGUGUUCCUUUGCCACAAGGCUCACAAUCCCUCUUCUCAUUUGUCCAAUCCCUUGAAGACGAUUUCUGCUUCAUUGCAACAACUCUACCUCUAGUGUGAUUCCAAUCAUCUCAACCUCCCACACCACCAAAUUUUGGAGUAGAGGACUAGAUGGGACAAGACAUCAAUGAAGAGGUAGGAGAGGAGGCGGCAAGGGAGGUGAGAUGCAGAGAGGGACAAUCUAGGUUGAAUGGGGAGGAAGAUCAAGUAGAGCCAACCACGUGUCGGUGUUAGACAAAUUCAAUAUAAGAGACAUGCUAAUUCAACUUAUGGGCGAUGAGGCCUAAGCCCAGGGACAAGUUAGGGCAGGUUAUGAGAUUGGGCACAACAUAACACUUUGGGCGGCUUGAUCUAGACAUUAGCAAACUUGUAAUCAACAAAUUAACAAUUCAUUUAUCCACCAAUAACAGCCAAUAAAUCAAAUAACUAUUAUAGAAAAAAUAAACAUGAGAUUAAAAUAUAAGCUCUUGUUGAUCAUUUUCAUAAUAAACCAAACAACACAUCUGGCAAAUCCAUUUUAAAAGCAUCACUUCUAUAAAGUUACCUAUUGACUUCAACCACCUACAAGCAACCAAAAACCCCUUCAUCAUAUGAAAUUGACAAUAAACAAAUGACAAGCACAUGAAGCUAAACUAGUUAAAAGAAUAAAAAGAUAAGGUUAAAUAGAACUUACCAAUGGAUUGAUGUUGAAAAGACCAACACCUUCUCCCGUAGCUAAAAAAAUCUCCUUCUCCAACGGAGUAUGAUCUCCCAAAUAGUUUUGGAGUUCAUUUGGGCGAAAAAACCAUAGAAUUUUUAAUUUCUUUUUGCGAUCUGGUUGCUCCCAUAUCUUCACUAUCUUUCCAAUAUAAGGCUCCAAUGCAUCCGUUUCAUGGAGGUAUACACAAUCAAACAAUGAGUAGUUGACAUCGUCAAUCAUGAAUGACUCAUAGAAUUGAAUAUUUCUUUUAGCACCACCAAUUCCUCUUUUUUUGCCCCAACAAAAUCUAAUGGCAUGGUUAGAUGGGUCAUCAGACUGAGCCAUUGCUUGUUACGAGCCGAAGUUUCCUAGAUCAAAUUUGGUGUCCCUAGGUGCCCAAAUAAAUAAUGAAAUAAAAUGUCAAUUACUCAAAUAAAUUACAGAGUACAAAGAAAAUUCUUAUUUUGGAAGUUAGAAUAAUGCAUAAAGACCAAAAUGAAAUCACAAGAUUGAUGUAAGUUUGAGAUCACAAGGAUGUUAUAAAAAUGGAGCACAAAUCAAAAUCAAAAGGAUCUUGAUGAAAAACUAGAAGAAAAUAAAAUAACAACAAGGAUAUAAUUUUUUUGAAAAAAAAUGAUAUAUUUUCUUCAUAUACCCCUAUUCGUUGAAUUUAUCAAUAAUGUACAAGAUCUUGCAACAUCCUAUUAGGCAUUAAUAUACUAAUGUAAAAAUGCGUACAAAGAAAAAGAAACCUAUGCCUAUUUAAUUGCAACCAAGAACAAAAAAAAAAUCAUACUAAUCAAACAAUCAAUUCAAUGGCAUAAAUAGCUCGAAGUCAGCAUGCAGUGGUAAACAGCGGAGACGGGGGCAAUGGCAAGACCGAUAUGAACUCAAAUUGGGUCAUUCAUACAAAAUAGCUUUCCAAUUUAUAUUAUACAAGAGAGUUAAGUUAUUCACAAAGAGAAGAUCCAAAUGACAAAUAUCUAGUUAUCUACAAAGUUAGCCACACAUUUCAAGUAUAAGGAAACCCAAUAUAUAUUAUAUAUUAGUAAUCAAUUCCUUUCCAUAAAGUAGGCAUAUCAUUUGCCAUUGUCCACUUGUAUAAGCAGUGUUGUCAAAGCCACUAGGCUUUAAAAAGCGCCAAGGUUCCAAAAUGCCUGAGGACCCUGGGUGCUCGCUCGGGGGAAACAAGAAGCUAGGGGGUCUGUGGGUCGACGGGAGGGGGAGGAUGGUGUCGGGGGAAGGAGGAGGAGCUGAGGCGAAGGGGAGAAGGAGGAGGAGGGAGGAGAAGGGAGGGGGAGGUUGGUCUCGGGGGAAGGGGAAAGGGGGAGCUACGACGAAGGGGGGAAGAGGGAGGGAUCGGGAAAAAAAGAGGGGGGGUGGAGAAGAGGGAGGAGGAGGAGGAGGAGGAGGAGGGAGAGAGAGAGAGAGAGAGAGAUACCGAGGAAGUGCUAUACGCCGUCGCCGCAGCGACAAGAAGCUCGCCGGAGGAAGACAGGCGUCGUUCGCCGAUGGAGAGGAAGACAGCCGCCGUUCGCCGAGGAAAUUAGGGCACGGAUGCCCCGGAGCGGAGAGAGAGAGAGAGAGAGAGAGAGAGAGAGAGACUGCUCCCAACCGGUUCAAUCGAACCAGAGAUUCGAACUGCCUCGCCAGCCCGGCCCACUUAUCGGGCGCUCGGGUCUCGCCUCAUCCCGCAAGUCAGGACGAGACCACUAUAUUCUCGUUUCGAGGACCGGCCCGACUCGCCGAUCCAACUAAAACGCAACUUUCGCAUUGUCAUGAACUCUCGGAACAGCCAACCUUUUGUUGGUCGAUCACCGCCUUUCGAAGUGCUGCAAUCUGCACUUGGGAAUUUACUCUCUCUUCUACCAUUAAAUGGCCGAGAACUAAAAAUAAACUCCAACUUUAAUUAGAACAGGAAACAACCACCGCCAUCCUCUUGUAUGGGGAAACAUCCAAUCACUUCCUCGCUGCCUCCUUACCCAAUACAAAUCAAAGAGACACUUGAAAGCCAUCGACGAUCAAAACCACUGGGUCGAGGAUGGUCCCAAAACCCAGAAUCGUCCGCCAACAUCUUGACAGAAUAGGAAGAAGACAGAGGAGGAUAACAAAAAGGGAGACCGAGGGGAGAAAAGAAGUACAAAGGCGAAGCAAUACCGGAGUGCGCCGCGCGGGCUAUAGUUGGCUCUCUGGAAUUCGCCGGUGGCAGCGAGGUCUUCUUCGCUAGGGUUCCCCCUUCGAUCGGUAAAAACGAUGGCUUCUUAUCGCGGGCCUUAAAAACCAGCCUGCUUAAGCAGCCACGAUGAGUUCGACUCGAGUCCACCCGAACCAAGCUUUAACCCGAUUCAUCUCCAAGCCGGCUCGCCAAGAUUCAUCCGGAUCCUACGGUCCCUUCUGCGUCGUUAAUAUUUGGGGAUUAAUAUCAUAAUACCAUUCAGGUAGUUUAGGUAACUUUCUCAAAACUAAGAUACGAUUCCUAAUUUCUGAAUUGUUAAUGCUGGAAUCUACAAAUAUAUUGUUACCAUAUGUCAAAUACACACACAUAUCACCUGCAAACAUGGGUUAAUGCAGAUUCAUUUAUUUAACAGGGAUUAGGUGAACAACGACGAGACAGAACUGCAUGAUGUGAGGUGCACAAUGAAACACGUCCAGGGUAUAGAAUUAUGAGAUGUUAUCCAUUUAAAUACCUUGUUCAGAGUUUACGUGAUUUUGCCAGCGAGAAGUGUUGGGAUCGUGAGGAAUCUAUAUUUUUUUUUGUUAAAAAUAUAUUUAAUUGUUUAUAUGUCGUACACAUCUAUACAUUUUGAUUUGGAGAAGAAUGUGAGGAGAGGUAUUGAGUUAUCGAGUUUCUUUUAUUCAUAAAGGGUGAUUUUUUUCCUUCCAAGUAUAUAAGUGGAAUUAUGUUUGAAUUGAAUUUUAUACGAGAUGAUUAUAAUUUGAUCAACUAUGAUAAAGAAUUUAGUUCCAUUGCAUACAAGUUUAAUGAAAAGAUUGAUCAAUUUGAUUAAAAUGAAAUAGAAAGAAAAAUAUUGUAUUGACUGAAACAAUACAUAAUACUCUAUAUUUAUACAUGUUUAGAAGUGAAAAUUUUCCUAAACAGAGGAUGAUUUUCCUUAAUAGCUUUAUGAUAUCUUAUCAUGUAGUUAAAGAGACAUUGGCUGUUGUUGAGGUUGUUAUCACAGGAGAUCUUGACUGUUAUCAUGCUCCCGCAAGACGAUACUUAUGUUAAGGACAUCGAUCUUGGACUAAUAAAAGCGAUUUGUGGGUGAGAGGCUUCAUGAGGGAGUCCACAUCAGUCGUAUGUAUGUGAGAAACACAUAGUUGACGCAUAGAUAAGUGAUUCCGACAUUGUCACAAUGAGAUUCAUGACCCAAUUGAGUUUUGCAACAGCGGUGGAAAUGACACAGUAUUCAACUUCGGUUGUAGAAUGUGUAACUGUCUUUUGCUUCUUGGAACUAUUGAAUUUAAGUCCAAGGAAGAGAAUAUACCCCGAUGUGAAUGUUCUAUCAUCAAAAUUUCCUGCCCAAUCAGUAUCAGUAAAGGCAUGGAGAUGAUGGGGGGAGUAUUUAUGAAAAAGAGGCCAUGAUUGAUAGUCCCAUGAAGAUAUCAUAAUAUUCGUUUGACUGUAGACCAACGCACAGUAGAUGGUCGAUGCAUGAAUUGGGAUAAUUUAUUAAUCGUAAAUGAGAUAUCUGGACGGGUGAGAGAUAAGUACUAUAAGGGGCCAAAGACUUGAUAGUAUUGAGUUGGGUCUGUAGCAAAGCUCCCAUCACAUAGUUUGAGCGACUCGUCAUUAGACAAAUGUGUUGUAACUACCUUUGCAUCUUGCAUGUUCGUUUUAGAUAAUAGAUCUUGAAUAUAAUUUCGUUGUGAUAGGAAGAGCCGGAAGAUGUGUAUGUUGCUUUCACUCCCAAAAAAUAGCUUCUAUAGGAUUAUUGCCUAUGAUAAUAAUAUCAUCCACAUAUACUAGAAAAUAUAAUAUAUUGCCACUUUGGUGACAAAAAAUAAGGAUGUAUCAGACUUAGAGUUGAUGAAGCCAAUUGAUGCAAAAAACAAACCAAUUUCGGUGUACCAAGCUCUUGGAGCCUAACGAAAUCCAUAAAUAGUUUUUUGUAGUUUACAAGCAUGCUUUGGAUAUUGAGGGUGGAUGAAACCAAGAGGCUACCGCAUAAAGACAUCGUCAGUUAGGGUCCCCUGUAGAAAGGCAUUAUUAACGUCGAGUUGAUGUAAAUGUCAGCAUUUUGAGAUGGCCAAACUCAGAAUAAGUCGGAUUGUUAUGGGUUUAACAACAGGGUUGAAUGUCUCUGGGAAGUCAACACCAAGUCGUUGAUGAAAUCCUUUGGCCACUAGACGUACUUUAUAUCUGGAUACGGAUCCAUCUAGGUUCCGCUUAAUUCGAAAGACCCACUUACACCCGAUGAUGUUUUGUGUAGGAUGAGAGGGUACAAAGGUCCAUGUAGAAUUAUGGAGGAGUGCAUCAUAUUCUUCACACAUGGCUUUAUGCCAGUAUAGAGAAUGAGAGAGUGGAUCAUAAGUGAUAUAUAUGUGAUGGUGUAGGUCGCACAGCAGGAGACUUAGGAUUAUGAAACGGAAAGAUAGUCUCUAUAAAAAUAACAUGACGAGACGUAAGACUUUUCGAGAUUGGGAUUCAUAGCAUCGAAAAGCAUUAUGGUCAAGUGAGUAUUCAAUGAAAACACAAGGUUUAGAUUUUGAUGUUAACUUAUGUGAGGCAUAGGGACGGAGCCAUGGAUAACAUAAACAUCAAAACAAUUUGAGUUUUUAAAGGUUUGAGGAUUUGUAAAAUAAUUUUUCAAAUGGUGACUCGUACUCAAGGACAGGAGUGAGCAUACGAUUAAUGAGGUAGACAGCAGCUUAAAAUGCUACAAUCCAAAAAGUUGGUGGUAAAUGGGUUGUGGGUUGUUGAUCAAUAUUGACAAUGAUCAAUAUUGUGUAAAGCUGUAGAUCUUUGUGCAGCAGUGCUGUAGUCUCAGUGCAACAGUGCAGUAGUUUUGUAGUCUCUGUGUAGCAGUUCUGCAGUUGCUAGGCUUAUGCAGGAAGAGACAGAGGAAUGGAAAACACUGCACUACUUUGAGAUGGAGUCGCGGUCCACGAGAUAGUAGGAGACGGGUCUACUUCGAGAUAUUUAGAAGUGACCUUCACGGCGAGGGCUCAUGAUAGAAAUGAAAUAGAAAGAAAAAAAAUUGUAUUGAUUGAAACAAUACACAAUACUUCAUAUUUAUACAUGUUUAGAAGAGAGAAUUUUUCUCAGAGGAUUUUUCUUAACAGCUUUAUGAUAUCUUAUCAUGUAGUCAGAGAGAUCUUGACUGCGAGGUUAUUAUCUAGGGAGAUCAAUUUAUAGAAAUUAUUGAACCAUUAAAUCAUAUAUUAUUUUUAAAAUUUAUAUUUAAUCAUUGAUCCUUAUAUUUUUGUUUUCCAUUCUUACCCCGAUAAAUUGAUAUUAUGGUUAAAAACACUUAAAGGUGAUCAAAUAUUUAAUAAAAAUAUUGAUGAUUAUUUUUGCAUGUUUUACAAUAGAUAAGUUUGAAAAAAAUAAUUUCGGCCGAUGACAAAAGAAAUUUAAUCAUAAUAAGAUGAAUAAUAAGGAUAAAAAUAGUUAAGGAAUGCGCAAAUAGACAUAAGAUGAUGAAUAAUUAGGAUUGGAAAGACCUGGAUGUAAAGUGUACUUUCAAUACACAGAGUGAAGAAAAUACUAACAAAAGUAAGAUUAUUGGGAUUGAUUUUUUUUUUAAUUCUUAUGGACAAAAAAUUUAAAGAGGGUGGAAAAAAAAAGGAGGAAUUGUUCAAAGUUAAUGUAAAAAAAGUAUAUGAAGGAGAGAAAAAGAUAAUGUUAAAUUAUUUUAGAUUUUAUAUUAGAAAGUGUAUGAGAUUUAUGUUUAAGUUAGGUUAACUCAAUCGAAUAUUGGAAAGAUCUUUAUUGGAUUGGAAUAUUUUUUUCGGUUCGAAUAAUCAUGAUCGACGUUAACAUCACAUGAGAGAAAAGAUAAAAUGAAAAUUUUAAGAUUUAUAUAAAAAUAUAUUUUACAUCGUUAUUUUUUUACUUUAUUUUUAAUUAUUAAUCCCUGAGUUUCUAUUUUGAUAAUAAGGUAUUCUUCCCCGAACAACAAAAAGUACUCCUGUGUUGUCGACGCGAGAAUCCCGUGGUCGUUUGGUACGGGAGCAGAAGUCUCAUGGUCGGCGCGUGGGGCCCGCUAUUUGGCGCUACCGAGAGCAGGCCAAGCCAAACAAACAUCGGACAUACGGCGACUAUAUAUAAAUAAUGCAAAAGUUGGUGCGCAAAGUGGGUAUCGAAUGUAGAGUUCAGUUAGGAAAUGAAAUAUUGUAUUAGCCCUUCCCGACUCAUACCCACGCCGUAACCUCGGAUGCUGCUCGGGGCCGGACAGCGGACACGCUCGUGAAAAUCCCCAUUGGAAGUUGCGGCGGGGCCCACUGUUGGUCUACCCAUCGUGGGGCCCACCAGAGAACUCCAGCACCUGAAAUGAUACCCACUGCGCCAUAAAUACAUGUAUAUAUUCUCUCUCUCCGGUAUCUCUCCAACACACUCUUUCCCUAUAUAACCAGUCCAGCCUGGAGAACCUCCUCUUUCCAUUCCAUUCCAUUCCAUUCCAAACCCCAUAGCCACACGCCUCCCACCCUCCCUCUCUCUCUUAUAAACCUCAUCAAAAUUGGGGUUUUUUGGUCUCCUUGUCUUGCAGUUCUAACCAGCGAUUCAAUUGCGGUAUUGUCCUCCUCCUAAAGAUGUCACUUUUAUGGUUAUGGAAAUUGUUGAGACGAUUAAAGAUGAUGUUCGUUGAUGGGAUCUGAUCUCGGUUUUUUGUGGGUUUGGUUUCUUGAACGGGAAGCAAUGGAUUUUAUGGAUUCGUGACGCUAAAGAUUUGCUUUUUUGUUAUCAUUAUUGUUAAUGCACAUCUUUUAAUUGCGCAGUUUGUGAGAUCGAUCGGGGAAGGAAGAGGAGGAGGGAGGAGAAUGGCGGAAGAGCAGCGAUGCCAAGAGGGGCACCGCCCGUGCGCGAACAACUGCGGUUUCUUCGGGAGCCCCGCGACGCUCAACCUCUGCUCCAAAUGCUACCGCGACCACCGCCUCAAGGAGGAGGAAAAGCAGCAGCCGCAGCAAGCGUCGUCGUCGUCGUCGUCCGCGACCGCAGCCGAGGUGGGCGUCGAGGAAUCCCUCUGCGCCUCCUCCUCCUCCUCGCCGGCCUCCUUUGUGGGUGCUGAGGCGGGGGAACCUUCGGUCCUGGUCGCCUCGGCGACGGCCGCCGCGGCGACGGAGACGGAGAAAAAGGGGCCGAACCGGUGCGCGAAGUGCCGGAAGAGGGUGGGGCUGACGGCGGGGUUCCGGUGCCGGUGCGGCGCAACCUACUGCGGGACCCACCGGCACGCGGAGCAGCACGGCUGCACCUUCGACUUCAAGGCGGCCGGCCGCGCUGCCAUCGCCCGCGCCAACCCCGUCGUCAGGGCCGUCAAGCUCCACAAGAUCUGAAGGAUCUCCGCCCCCCGCUCCAUUCGCUUUGUUUCUCCAUCAUCAUUAUUAUCUUUUUCUUUUAACUGCCGGUGGUAAAAAAAUUAAGUGUGGAAAAUAUAAAUAAAUGAUUAUUAAUUAUUAGAUCUUUAUUUAUUCAAUUAUCCUAUUAUUACAUUUAGCAUAAAUAUGAUUUUAAUGGAAACACGACACACACGCUUUAUCACCUUUCAUCAAGUCAAUGCCAUUUGACCUAAAUGCUUUGCAUACAUCAUGGAUGAUCCAUUCAAGACUAAAAGGUCAUCUAAAAGGAAGUGAUACUACUAAUUUGAUUUCUUUUGAAUUUUAAUCCCUAUCUUUUUUCUUUUUUUUUGUCCAUCAUCGUGUAGAACAGAACAAAAAUAAUGCAUGCAUUUGACAUGAUGAUGUCAUGACCCAGACUUGGGCUAACUAAUCUAUCAACUUUGUUCGAUCUAAACCAUUGAUCAAAAUAUUUAAGCUAAAGUUAAUAGUAGUACAUUAUCCUUAUAAGUCAAUCUUAAUCUUGUUCAUUUUACCAAUGAUGCCUUAAAGAUACCAAAAUUCAUCACCAUUAAAUUCAUGCCAUCGUAAAAUUACAUUUAAUGACUUGUGUUGCCUAAAAUGUAAGCAACUUAGAGCUUGGAAACUGAAAUUUCUAUUGCAAGAAGCAAUUAAUCUUAGGGUCUGAUUAGGGUGGCCAAAAUGGAAGCAAAUAAGAAAAAGAUAGAUUAUUGUAGGAAAUAAUGUUCGGUCUCUUGUUUUGAGUGUUAGGGUCAUUUCUUGAACGUGCAAAAAAAGAAAUAUAUUGAUAAGAAAAGAUAAUUGAUAAUGAAAAAAUAAAUGAAUUUAGUUAUUAUUGAAUUAAUAUGAUGAUAUGAUCCAAUAAUUAAGGGAGGAAAGAGGAUGAGAGGACUACAAUAUAGAGAAACAUUGUUUUUUAUUUUCCUAAAUUUCUUUUUUUAUUUCAUUUAAUGGAUCAGUUGUUUCUUUUAGUAAUAAUAUUACAAACUAAAACCCUAAUGCAAUGAUAAAAGCAAAUUAUAUUAAAAAAAUCAAAGAGUACAAAUAUAAUUAAGUCAAAAUAAAACAUAUUUUUAGAAUUUGAUCAUAUUUUUCUCUCCAAAAGAUUAGGGUAAUAUCUAAAUAUAAUAUUACUUUACUCAUCCUCGUAAUAUUCGAAAAUAAAACGAAUAUAAAUGCCUUUCUAUGAAUUAUUAUUUCUUAGUAUAAGUAUUGUCUUCAUAGUAGCUAAGUACACAGUAGAUUCACUAUAUGAACAAUAAAUAUGGCAUUUAUUACUUAAGAAUAACAGCCCAUCAAUGAAAAAUGCAUAGAAUAAUAAAAAAAAUAUGUUACCAUCUUCCUUCAUACCGAACGACAUACUGUGGAGAAGAUAAAAUUCUUUAUUUUAUUUUUUUAGAAUUCUUGCAUAUGCUAUUUUUAAAAUAAUAAUUAUAAUUAUAAUUAUAAUUUUUUCGUCAAACUAAUUUUUUUAGUGAACCCGUUAAAGUUGGCAAUAAUUUUUUUUUCAAAAAUAGAGAUUUAUUACUUCAAUAUUUUGGAACAAUCAAUCCCAUGUUUAUAACUAUUUUUAUCCUUCUUGAGUAGAAGUACCAUAUAUAUAUUAUUAUUAUCUACUAAAAUUUAGAUAAAACUAUUUUUAUAUGCUUUAAUUGAUAUAAUUAUCUUUGAGAGGGUUAUAUAUAUAUAUAGAACUCAGUAAUAUAUUGUCUUAAGAUAAAAAAAAAAGAUUUUCUCACCAAAUAAAGUCUACCCAUUCGUAAAUUAACAGCCUUCAGUUGGUCUAACCAAUCUUAUUUUUGGUGUUAAAUAGACUCCUAAAUAUUUCAUGGGCUGGUUACUCCCCUUCAUUCAUCUCCAACAAUGGGCUUAAUGGUAGGAUUAUAAUUAUAGUUGAUGAGAUUCCAAAAAAAGCUUAAGCCCUAACCACAUUUCUACAAUAAUUCUCACUUCUCCUAAUAAAAAUCAGUGCAUCGACGAUCAAUAAAAAUCAGUGCAUCGACGAUCAACAAGGGGAUGUUUCCAUAUAUUCCUCAAGAUCUUAAAGGAGACAUGAUAAAAGAGGGAACUAAUCUAUGGCGAGGGGAAUGCACACAACACAUAAUCCAACUAAUGUCUCGAGGAGGAAAAUAUAUUCUAAAAAGAGAGUUCGUUCGUUUCCACGACAAUCUAUCAUAUGGUAAGAAGAGGUUCCGCCCUUCUAUUUGGAAGGGAAAUGAACUAUUUCACCGGCAUGCAUGAAUGCAAUCCUCUGCUUUUAAUGGCCGGCAAGAGAGUUGCUUAGUUCUCCAUCCUUCCUAUAAAUCGUUCGCCCACCCCCCACCCACCCGAAAAGGCCUCCGCGACAGCGCCAUGUCGGCACCUCAUCUUCCUUCC
rnacentral:lncRNA from 1 species